GAUGAACGCUGGCGGCGUGCCUAAUACAUGCAAGUCGAGCGAAUGGAUUAAGAGCUUGCUCUUAUGAAGUUAGCGGCGGACGGGUGAGUAACACGUGGGUAACCUGCCCAUAAGACUGGGAUAACUCCGGGAAACCGGGGCUAAUACCGGAUAACAUUUUGAACCGCAUGGUUCGAGAUUGAAAGGCGGCUUCGGCUGGCACUUAUGGAUGGACCCGCGUCGCAUUAGCUAGUUGGUGAGGUAACGGCCCACCAAGGCAACGAUGCGUAGCCGACCUGAGAGGGUGAUCGGCCACACUGGGACUGAGACACGGCCCAGACUCCUACGGGAGGCAGCAGUAGGGAAUCUUCCGCAAUGGACGAAAGUCUGACGGAGCAACGCCGCGUGAGUGAUGAAGGCUUUCGGGUCGUAAAACUCUGUUGUUAGGGAAGAACAAGUGCUAGUUGAAUAAGCUGGCACCUUGACGGUACCUAACCAGAAAGCCACGGCUAACUACGUGCCAGCCGCCGCAGUAA
rnacentral:rRNA from 1 species